UGUGAGAUCCAUAUUAAAUUGAAGUUUUAUAUAUUUUGCUUAUCAAUCGGAGGACACAGUCUCCAUGACGAAUCUAACGACAAAAAUCAGAGAUUGGCGGAAUUUUUGGGCCAACCCAAGACAAAGAUUUGAAGAAACAUUCCGAGAGAAAGAGGAUAAUUUCUCUCGGAUUGUUUCUUCGGGGCUUUUCGAGGCCUUUGGUAUGGAUUGUCGCUUUUCUUGAGGGAAUAAGUUCAACGCAAAUUCACUCGGUUCCUCUUCGUUAAAAGACUUAUAAUGCAGGAAUCAGAAGUUCAUAUCUACAGCACUUACCCCUCUGUCACAUAUUGAUAAGAAUUUCGAAGCAAAGAUUAUCGCGAUGAGAAUCCAGAAGUUCCGCUGUUGUUGCUCAUCAAUGAAGGUUAAAACGAAUAACCGGUCGUGCUAUAUUAUUCGUAGUUCAAUUUUCAAGUGCUAGUGGUUGGUUGCAAGAUGAAAGUGCUCUAUAUUUUCACGAUAAUUCUGUUUUUUAUAAAUGGUUUGUGUGCCACAAAGAGCCAUUCCUCAAAAAUAAAAGUGAAUCCCACACAAGGGAUCGAAAUUCAGACUAUGGCUCUUUUCAACGUGCAAGCAAAUUGCCUUCGAGAUCAUCGCGGACAGUGCCGUGGUCAAUCCGGCAGCAGAGGCUAAAAUUUAGUGGAAACUGUGUUUCAUUCCCACAACAAUGCUUAAGAAAACUUUAACAUAACAUUCAACGUAAGAUGAUACUACUCUCAUCCAAAAACAACCAUUUUUAACAACGGCACCUCUUCAGUUCUCAGCUUCUGAUAACGCCUACGAACGACUAGAUAGAGCUGGUUUACAACCGUCAUUGCAGUAGAUCGGAAUAACCAUCGUCAAAUUCAUAGUUAUAUUCUAUGUUCCUAUCUUUCAUCUUUGGUUUAAUAAACACUUUUUUUUUGGAA